CUAGGCAGGCAGGUGGGACUGGGGCUGGCAGGGAACAUGGAAAAAUAGAGAUGCUCUUGGCAGAAAAUGGGAUAGUGACUGGAGGAGGGAGGUCUUGCAGGGCUGGAGGAAAACAUGGGAGGGUGUUGUGCAACAGGGACACAUCAGGGCAGUUUGUCUCACUCUAAUAUUUCCUAAUUCUGCAGCUUGAGUCAUGGCCCUUCGCCGGGUGCUGCCUCUCCAGCACGCAGUCCUUGCAGAGGUCUGCAGAAAUGCUUGUGCCACGUUUGGGAGAUCAGCAGAUGGUUCCUCUAAAGACAGCCUGAAAUGUGACUGUUGCUAAAAUCAGUUUUUACAGUAACCGCAAGCACUUUGUGAAGAAAGGAGGGUUCCUCCUGCAAGCUCAGGCUCAAAAGUCACUUUAAAUUAAUAACUUCUCUAGCGUCUGCACUUGGGCCUGGCUGGAGAGCCUGGAGUCUGCCUCGUGACAAGUGUCAUGACGCUGGUUUGUUUUUGUUCAUUUCUGGAGUGUUUUGCUCAGAAGGAAGGAGCCAGGCAGCCAGCAGAGCAGUCCCCUGGGUAGGAUCUGGGAUGGGGGACUCCAGUGUUCCUGUUUCCACUCUGAUGGGCUUGGAGCAGGAAUUUGGAGAGCCCUGAGAGACCAGACAUCAGCAGCGUGUCUCUGGACAAGAGGCUGUUGAAGAAGAUGCUGUCUCUUUGGUGUUUAUUCCUGUCUGCUCAUCCGGGGCCCCGUCACUGAUGGAUGCGAGUGCUCUUGGUUCCCUUCUGCAGCAGAGUGUUCAGGGUUUUUUCCUCUAUAGAUCUUUCUGCAGUGUUUUGCAACUGCACCAGUCAUUCCUAACGAGCCAAACUUCAGCCUGCUCCUUAAAAUACCCCUGUGAGGCCCAAAAGGGGCAUUAUCCCAGCUUUGCAGCCAGGGAAACCAAAGCCUGAAGAGGAUAAGAGCUUCAUUUUAGAGGUGCCAGGCCGUCGCCCACUGUGAGCCAUGUGGGAGACCACAGGCGUUUGGAGAACUGGAGCUCCUGUCUCAUUCAAGUGUUGUUCACCAGGAAAAUGCUCAUCUUGGAGAAGCACUGAGGGAGUUUGAUAGAAGGGUCUGUGUCUGGGACUGGCACGGGCUGGGUGGGUUGCUGCUGUCUCGCCUCCCCAGUGGUACAGAGCAAAGGCGAGAGGGAUGCUUGGAGGCUCCCAGCCCACGGGGAUGGGAAGGAGGUGGGUGUUUUAGGAGGGAGCACCGGUUGUUUGACAGAGCUGAGACCACACAAUGGCUGGUGGCUUCACGUGUGUCUCUGGAGAAGAGGGGGGUGAUGAGAUACAUACCAUUUGCAUGCCUGCGCUCUGGCUUGAUGUGGUCUUGCCGAGCGAAUCAAAGCUUUUGCUUUGAAGGCAGCAGAGGGGGAAGGGGCUGUCUUUGUUCUGCUCUUUGGAGAGCGCUGGAAAUCCUUCAGCCCAGAAGACUACACCCUUCAUUACCCUCUGAGUUAUUGGCCCCAGAUUGGAAGUAUGGCUCUGUCAUGUGAAGUAUUUGAUUAUUUAUACAGUUAAUGUGUAACAGAGUUGGAGUAUUAGAAUUCAACAGGGACGAGCUUCCAACUUUGCAUGGUUCAGGACUAAUAAAACUUCUCUGACCCA